AAUGAACUGUUGAUGGAGUUAUAAAUUGGUAAUACCCAUACUAGUUCUGUAUCCAAAAGAGGUCAAAGAAAAAGGAAAAGUAUUCAUAUAUACAAACAUUGCAGCUCUUUUUGUUGUGGCAAAGAAUUGCAAAUCAAAGGCAUGUUCAUUAGUUGGAGAAUAGCUGUACAAGUUGUGCAUAUGAUUGUGAUGUAGUACUAUUAUGUAAUAAUAAAUGUUGAUGGGAGCUGUUCAGAAAAAAAAAAUAUGGCAAGGCUUACAUGAACUGAGGCAUAGUGAAGUGAAAAGAAUUGGGAGAUCAUUGUACACAGUAACAGCAAUGUUGUAAUGAUGAUCAACGAUGAAAGAUUUGGAUCCAAGACAAUUCCAUAGGACUAAUGUUGAAAAAAUGUUCUCUACAUCCAGAGAAAUAACUGAAGAACACUGAAUGGAAAAUGAAGUUCUCCCUGAUUCAAAACCCCAUCUUUUUAAUACUUGUGUUCCUUGGGUGAUGUAAAAUGGCAGCAAAUCAUAGAGUUCUACAAUCUCUCUGAAUAGACAUCUGAAGAGAUGCAGGUCAUCCAAAGGGCAAAGGAGAAAAAUAUGGUGGAGAUGAGGAAAUUGAUGUUCAAAGAAAUAAAGUGCAAAAUGACUUUGUCCAAGUUAUGUAGUCUACAUUGGGAUGAGAACACGGGUUUCAACUUCCAUUCAAGUCUCCCAGGAAAAGAUUUGGAGAAAGAAUCUCUGUUGUAGGAGAAAAGCAGGAGCAUGGCAUUUUCAUGUAACUAUGCAUGACUUAUCCCUUCCCUCAUCCCCCCUCCCCGACAUUUGAAC
rnacentral:lncRNA from 1 species